GAUGAACGCUGGCGGCGUGCCUAAUACAUGCAAGUCCAGCGAACGGACGAGAAGCUUGCUUCUCUGAUGUUAGCGGCGGACGGGUGAGUAACACGUGGAUAACCUACCUAUAAGACUGGGAUAACUUCGGGAAACCGGAGCUAAUACCGGAUAAUAUUUUGAACCGCAUGGUUCAAAAGUGAAAGACGGUCUUGCUGUCACUUAUAGAUGGAUCCGCGCUGCAUUAGCUAGUUGGUAAGGUAACGGCUUACCAAGGCAACGAUGCAUAGCCGACCUGAGAGGGUGAUCGGCCACACUGGAACUGAGACACGGUCCAGACUCCUACGGGAGGCAGCAGUAGGGAAUCUUCCGCAAUGGGCGAAAGCCUGACGGAGCAACGCCGCGUGAGUGAUGAAGGUCUUCGGAUCGUAAAACUCUGUUAUUAGGGAAGAACAUAUGUGUAAGUAACUGUGCACAUCUUGACGGUACCUAAUCAGAAAGCCACGGCUAACUACGUG
rnacentral:rRNA from 1 species